CUCGUGCCGGCUGCUGGUGGAGGGCUGUGAGUCGUUUCCUCCGGGCCCGCCAAAGAAUCCACUCCUAAUCUCAGGUUGGAAAAAUGGAGGGGUGCUAUUUGAGGUCUCUCUAUCAAAGCAUUGCUGUAGUUGAUGGAAAGCACUGGCCUAGUGUAAAGGUUGAAUGUUCCCCUUGUGUUUAUCUAAGGCUUAAUGAAGAGGAGGUUCUACAGUCUCGUUUCUACAAAGGUUGUGAGUCUGAAGGGAAAUGAACGACGGAUCUCGAUUCCAUAGAAUUCUGAAGUGACCGACUGCAUCCCAAGAUGAGCUGAACAGAUCCACAAAAAGCCAAGGAUUUCAGAGCUGGUAGAGGGACGUCAGUGCCCUUGGUGGUUAGUGGGAAGAAAGGGUAUGAUCUCUUCUUCUCUUGAACAGGUGUGGCGAUUCUGGAAAAAUGAGAAAGCCGCGUAAGAAAUGGAACCUGAUCUCUCCUCCCCUAGUGACUUCUCAACUAGAACAGUCAUUCCUUUGGAACGGAGGGUGUUCAAGCUGGACUUUUAAGAUGCAAAUAGCCGUCUCCUGUUACUGGUGGGAAAAGAGCCUCUAUAGACGGGAAUUCUGUCCUAACAUUCGGAAAUGAAGGCAGUGGAUUCUGAAAAUCUGCCUUGAUUUUUAAGUGGCCACUUCCAAUAAAUAAAAUUAC